rnacentral:rRNA from 1 species
UACGUAGGGUGCGAGCGUUGUCCGGAAUUAUUGGGCGUAAAGAGCUUGUAGGCGGUCUGUCGCGUCUGCUGUGAAAAUCCGGGGCUCAACCCCGGACUUGCAGUGGGUACGGGCAGACUAGAGUGUGGUAGGGGAGACUGGAAUUCCUGGUGUAGCGGUGAAAUGCGCAGAUAUCAGGAGGAACACCGAUGACGAAGGCAGGUCUCUGGGCCACUACUGACGCUGAGAAGCGAAAGCAUGGGGAGCGAACAGG